rnacentral:ncRNA from 1 species
UUAGCUAUUUUAGAUAGUUUGUGUUCAUGUGAAAUCAUGGAUACAAACGGCGAAAACGUAAGUUUGUAUCUAUGAUGGCUAAGGAUUUUCCCUAUGACUUUCAAGCCACGUAGAUAAAAAAAUCUAUGGUGGCUUUUUCAUUUAUCUUUUUGCAA